rnacentral:rRNA from 1 species
CUUACCAUGCAGUCGAACGAUGAACCACUUCGGUGGGGAUUAGUGGCGAACGGGUGAGUAACACGUGGGCAAUCUGCCCUUCACUCUGGGACAAGCCCUGGAAACGGGGUCUAAUACCGGAUACCACUACCGCAGGCAUCUGUGGUGGUUGAAAGCUCCGGCGGUGAAGGAUGAGCCCGCGGCCUAUCAGCUUGUUGGUGAGGUAAUGGCUCACCAAGGCGACGACGGGUAGCCGGCCUGAGAGGGCGACCGGCCACACUGGGACUGAGACACGGCCCAGACUCCUACGGGAGGCAGCAGUGGGGAAUAUUGCACAAUGGGCGAAAGCCUGAUGCAGCGACGCCGCGUGAGGGAUGACGGCCUUCGGGUUGUAAACCUCUUUCAGCAGGGAAGAAGCGAAAGUGACGGUACCUGCAGAAGAAGCGCCGGCUAACUACGUGCCAGCAGCCGCGGUAAUACGUAGGGCGCAAGCGUUGUCCGGAAUUAUUGGGCGUAAAGAGCUCGUAGGCGGCUUGUCACGUCGGGUGUGAAAGCCCGGGGCUUAACCCCGGGUCUGCAUUCGAUACGGGCUAGCUAGAGUGUGGUAGGGGAGAUCGGAAUUCCUGGUGUAGCGGUGAAAUGCGCAGAUAUCAGGAGGAACACCGGUGGCGAAGGCGGAUCUCUGGGCCAUUACUGACGCUGAGGAGCGAAAGCGUGGGGAGCGAA